ACUGGAAGAAACGUAUGAGAGAAUGGUGCAAAAAUGCUUUUAAAACCAUAAUAUGCAAUACAAAUGUAAAGUAUUAUUUUUAACAAGAACAUAUUUUUAAUUAGAAAAAUAGUUUAUCAGCUUAUUUUCAAAUAAGUGUGAUGGUUUGUGUGACAGUUUGGAUCAUUGUUCAGCAAAUAUUUUCUCCCCUCUCCUCUCCUACCAUGGGUGGCACAUACUACCUGCCCACUUACUGUUGGACUUGGCCGUUUGACUUCCUUUGGCCCAGAGGCUGCCACUGUGCUUUUGCAAUCCUUUUGCACUCCUGCCUCCACUGUGAGAACAGGAUUCCCCAGGUCAUCACCUGAGCCACUGAAUGGAAUCCAUGUAGCAGAUCUAAAUGGAGUCCACAGCCUGGAGCCAAGCCGAGCUAGAUCAGCUGACCCACAGACAAUUUGUGUGGGAACAAAUUCUUGUUAUUGUAAGCCACUGAGUUCUGGAGCAGUGUGUUAAGCAGCAUCAUUGUGGAAUAGCUGACUAAUGCAGGAUGAGAUAUCCCCAAAAAGGAGAAUAAGAAAUCUAUCCCAUUCUAGCGGUAUCCUAAGACACAGCUGAUGGCAUUUCAGAGUGUGUCUUUCUCAUCUUUAUACCAUCCUGUCUCCUGGUUUUUGUUUUUGUAUUUUAAUAAGCUAUCUAUUAAGCCAUUUGAAAUUCAUGGAAAUUGGCCAGGCACAGUGGCUCACGCCUGUAAUCCCAGCACUUUGGGAGGCCAAGGCAGGUGGAUCACCUGAGGUCAGGAGUUCAAGAUCAGCCUGACCAACAUGGAGAAACCCCAUCUCUACUAAAAAUACAAAAAUUAGCCAGGCGAAGUGGAGCGCACCUGUAAUCCCAGCUACUUGGGAGGCUGAGACAGGAGAAUCACUUGAACCUGGGAGGUGGAGGUUGCAGUGAGCUGAGACCAUGCCAUUGUAGUCCUCCAUUGAUUACAGUCCAUCUCCACCACAAUCAGGUCAAGAUAUAUCCCCGACUCAGGUGUAAUAAUCUGGGACCUUUGUAUCAUGCAUGUGUUUUCUUCAGAGACUCCGGUGUCUCUCUGCCAACACAACCCCAUUAUUCCGGCCAUGCCAUCAGGUUAAAUAAUUUGCUGAAUUUCAGGGUAGGUUGACAGGUUGCCAUAGCAGUCAAAUAGGCCCCAGGAGCAACAGGGAUACCAAAAUGGUAAGUGGCUUUGCAAACCAAUGAUAGAGCAAGUGAAAUCAGCUCCCACCUCUCCAAAAAGCAGUCUCAACAAUAAUAUAGCAAACAUUUACAUGGCUAAAAGAAUUAGAAAACUCGUGUGUAUUAAGGGCUAUCACUUUUGUCUCCUAUGAGUUCUCUCAAUUCAUCCCCUAGGUGAGGAAGGUAUUAUCAGCCCAUUGUACAAAGUAGAAAACAUGCAGUGGUGCACUGGUAAAUGUUUACAACUCUGUGGACUGGGGAAACACUGAUUUGCCAAUUCCCAUGGUAUAAAGAUUCCCACCACAGCCAACAUGAUGUCAGUGAACACAGAGUUGGGAAGAAAUGCAAACAUCCGUCUUUCCAGUGGGGAUAAACCAGCUCCAGCACACAUCGGAACUGUGCACAGAGAGGUCAAGCAACUUGUCAAAGUCACUCAGCUAGUAUGUGGGAAGCAAGGAUUUGUAUGAAAAUCUUCUGACUUGAGCUUGCUCCUCAACACUACUCUUGAUUUCCCAUGAGAAGGCAAGGCCUCCGGAGCCAAGGACCCUAGAUAGUCUUUACUCGUGACAAUGUCCUUGAGUUGAUUUUUCUCAGAACAUGUUUGAGUAAGACCUACAGAACUCCAUAGACACUUUUUUCUUCCAAUUACUUUACACUAGGUUUCAAAUGCCAAAAUAGUGAAAAUUUCUGCUAAAAAGUUCUCAGAUUCCCACUGUUGGUCCAAUGUAACGUUUGCUUGCAAAUCUGGGUGAGAGGUGGAGUUAAGAAGGGGAGGAAAGGGUUCUGCCUUUUUUCCCGACAAAGACGACACCAAACCAGAGGACUUUCCACCCCUACAACUGGUUGGCCCAACUCUCACUAGUGUGUGGCAAUCGUUGGUGCCAAGUCCUACCAGAGAGAGGUGACUUUUCCUAAGGGACUGAGUUCUGUUUCUAGAGGCUGCAUGAAAUGUUUUUACCCUGACCUUUUCCUCCUUUUAUAAGGUUCUUUUAAUCAGGUAGACAUCAGGAGAGCAAACAGGCAGCCAACACUUGGCAAGAACCUGCUGAAUCCAUUGCAUGUAACUCAAGCAAAGUUCACCCUUUUAAGAUAAGGGGCUGCACAUGUUACUGUGUGUUGGGGUAAGAAACAUACAUGGGCACAGUUGGUCAGAUAUGAGACCACAGGGAUUUGUGAGGCAUGCCCUUAGUAUUCAUGAUUAUGGUUUUUGCUUUGUUUUGUUUGAGAUGGGGUCUCAUUCUGUCACCCAGGCUGGAGUGCAGCAGUGCCAUCUCAGCUCACUGCAACCUCCACCUCUACGCUCAAGCAAUCCUCCCACCUCAGCCUCCCAAGUAGCUGAGACCACAGGCACGCACCACCACACCUGGCUAAUUUUUUGUGAUUUUGGUAGAGACAGGGUUUCGCCAUGUUGCCCAGACUGGUCUUGAACUCCUGAGCUCAGGAGAUCCACUGGCCUCAGCCUCCCAAGGUGCUAGGGUUAUAGGCAUGAGCCACCGCACCCGGCCAUUUAUAUAUGGCAUGAGCCACUGUGCCAUACCUAAAAUCAGCUGCUGCAGAACUAAAAUGAGCAGAUUGCAAUUGUGGCCAACACCAUUUUUUACCCAAAACCAUUUUCCCAUCUUCCUUGCUAACAGAACUUGAUUUGGGCUGAAUCAAUGUGUCCAGAUCAGUGAUAGAUCUACACUGGUCUAUGCCAAUUAUGACAAUCUUAUUCCCUAACUGAUCAGCUUCCUUUGUAGGUUGGCGGGGCCGGGGAGGGGCCAUGGGAUCCAAUUCUGACCAAUGAGGCCUAAGGGGAAGUAUGCUUUGGAGAUUUCUGGGAAAGAUUUUUCUAUCCUAACAAAAGGGAAAGUCAGCUGACGUCACCCUUCACCUUCCUAUUCUUCCUGCCUUGAAUGUGGAUGUGACUUUUUGUUAUGUAAGAAAAAUAAAUGAAUGUAUUUAAGCCAUUGUUAGGUAGGGUUUCUGUACCUCAUAGCUGAACGCAUUUCUAACUGAUAGUGGUGAGCAAUGAACAAGUGAAUUUUACAGUAAUGGAGCAGAGGGUCAAGUUGACCCUACAAUCUUUAGCUUGACUAAUUGAAUGACUGGAAGCCCAAUUGGUAGAUAAAUAUAAAGAGUGUCAGAAGGAGGAGAGGUCAGAGCACAUAGAUAAGUUUUAUUUGGGUGACUCUAAGACCUCAGUCAUGCCUGACAUAAUGGGAUUCUGUGACGCAUGUGUGUGGACCUUUGCAAUGGAGCUGCUCAGAACAUCGUUGGAACCCCCCUUUGGAAAUUCUCAGCAAAGCCUGAUUCACCUUCUCUGUAAUUUCCUCACUGUCGAUGAUUUUUCAGUACUUUCAUGGGGGGUUGAUUUUUGGAAAUAUCUGAGACUAAGUAAGGUGCAUUAUGAGAUUAGGAUAAAUAAAAUAUUUGGGUGAGUGAUUUAAUAAAUAAACAUAAUCCUGAUAAUUGUAGAGUGUGUGUGUGUGUGUGUGUGUGUGCGCACGCGUGUAUCAGAAACUCCUCCUGAAAGCAAUUCCAGAACAUGAAUUACAAACAUGUUUUUAACACUGGAAGCAUCAUUUGCAAAAAUAUUUCACUUAACUAAGUAAUUUUGCUGAAGACUGACUUUUGCCAAAUAAUCUUUUUUAUCUCUCUUAAAAGUUGGCAAUCCAAACAUUCUCUCAAGUAAAACAAGCAAGUAUUCUCCAUGUUCUCAAUACUCCUCCCUCAGAAAUGGUCUCAGAGUUCUCAUCUUGGGUCCUUUAUCAGAUUUACUUUAUGAAAUUGAAUAUAAUUUCUGCAGCAAUAAAAUGGAAAUAAUAGCAUUUGCCUCCCUCCUAAAGAAAUGUGGUGAACAAGAGUUGGUCAGCAA
rnacentral:lncRNA from 10 species